GCCUCCUGAUCAACCCUGCUGCUUCCCCGGGUGGCCCCUCUUAGGAACUUCAAAAAUGAAAAUAGCAAAGGGCCCAGGACCAAGAAGUGAGGACCAAGAAAGACCCUUUGCUAAAGACUUCCUACAGGUUGAGAAGGAUCCAUCACACAAAGUUUCUGCUGGGAGACAACUAUCAAGCUGCCACAUUGAAUACUAAAAAUUGUACCGAGGUUUUUACAGAGUCAGGGGAAAAUGAAGUAAAAUUUUGACUGAGAAAAAAUUUUUUGAAAUCCCAUUACAUUUAUUAAAGUUUAGUUACAUUGGAAAA